AGAGACAGCAGUAGCCACGGUAAUACAGAGGGUGCGAGCGUUAAUCGGAUUUACUGGGCGUAAAGCGUGCGUAGGCGGCUUCUUAAGUCGGAUGUGAAAUCCCUGAGCUUAACUUAGGAAUUGCAUUCGAUACUGGGAAGCUAGAGUAUGGGAGAGGAUGGUAGAAUUCCAGGUGUAGCGGUGAAAUGCGUAGAGAUCUGGAGGAAUACCGAUGGCGAAGGCAGCCAUCUGGCCUAAUACUGACGCUGAGGUACGAAAGCAUGGGGAGCAAACAGGAUUAGAUACCCGAGUAGUCCCUGUCUCUUAUAC
rnacentral:rRNA from 1 species